rnacentral:lncRNA from 1 species
UGGCUGAGAUGGCAACGUGGUUCCGAUGGUCUUCACCUCUUUGCGUACGAUGGAGUGCCGGCUGAGGACAAGUUCAACGGCGGUUCCAGUGAUGGCGACGACUUGCCCCCUGCUCCAACAAUGGGAAUAUCAGUCGACAUGCACGGAUUGGGGAUUUCUAUUCAUGGAGUAACAAUAUCUUUAUUGUACUUUUGUGUGGGCACAGGGGAGUGUGGAGUUGCUGUCGUGGCAUUCUUCAAAUCCAAGUUAGUAUUACAUAUGGAUUUUACCUAUUCUUCAUACGUCAUGCCUGUAAAUUUGUCAGGAAAUUUUAUUGAAGAGCUUCCCUGUGCAGAGCUUAUUGGUUCUGGUGUUUGA